rnacentral:lncRNA from 1 species
CUUGAAUGUGUUUGGAUUCGUAUUGAUUUAAAUAGUCUUAUUAAUUACUGGAAAUUUGUAUAGUUAAGGUGGUUCAAUACAAAUUUUACGGAGUAUUGUUUGACUUAACAAUAACGUGUUGUUUUGACGGUGUUUUGUGAGUUUAAACCCUUCAAGAAAGAGUGUACAAUAUUAAUGGGUCGAGAGACCCAAGUGCUGAAAAUUCAGCUUAUUUCCAGAUUUUUGUUGGUUUAUGGAUAUUCAUAGUAAAUCAACCGAAUGUUCGUUUAGGUCGUAUUAUAUAUCGACGGAAAGCUCUAUGAGUCUGCGUUACUAAGAAAUUUAGUCUGAAGUUAAAUGCUUAACCUAAAGAGGGAAAAUACUGAAUUACUACAACUAAGCAAAGCUGUUUUGAAAUAUUAUUUUUAUAGUAUUUUACAUAAUCAUUGGGAAUUAACAAAGAACUCAUUGGAAGUGGAUUUUGUAUGAUUGGAACACUUAACGUGUCCACUUUUGAUGUUUUUAAAAUGACAGUCUAGGUUUUAAUCCAUGUAUGGGUUGGUUUGGUUAAAAGUUAACAUUGCGCAGGAAAUUAUAAAUGAUAAAUGAGUGAUUAUAGCGUUGUGUGUCAAUAACCAUGAAUGUAUACAUACCCACCAAUGGUUGUAUGGCUGUUUUGUUAUAGCGGCGUUAACAUGGAUACUAAAGGGAUAUGAGGUAAUAAGAAUUAGUUUAUAUUCAUGUAUGUUGUUUUAGUGUUUUGAAACGUAGUGGUGAGGUGGAAUGGUGUUUUAAUUAUUUGGUAUGAACUAACCUACUAAUUGUGUCCUUCAAGUGUUCUUGACACCAGUUUAGCAGAGAUGGUCAAGAAAAAUGGGAAUAAGCUAUUGAUCCAAAGUUGAUAAAUGUUAUGAGACUGAUGGCUUGAAAUAGUGAAACUGUAACUCGACGUCUUAUUGAUGGGCAUCAUCAGCAUGAAAAACUACUCUGAUUAAAAUAAUUAUAAUAUUAUGAGUCCUUGCAUAGCUAUAGCUAACUUCAGUGGUGUCUCCAUGUAGGUAAUACAAUAGAGAUUACUGAAUGGUGUGGACAAGUCAUGAGGAGCAAUGGGGUGACUUGAACUAGUAACAUGAAAGAAGAAAGGAACUCACAAAUUCGGGUGGUAGAAUGGUAAAAGUGAUCAAGUUUUGGAAAUGAGUUUGCGUAGGAGGAUUUAGUGAUGUUUUGUUCACUAAGUAUAUGAGUUUUCUUACCGGGUCAAUUAGACUUAAUUAUUUGUAUUUUGAAGUUUAAGUCCAAUGUUUGUUUUAGCGAAAUGUUAGUAUGUCAUUGUGGUAAUGGGUUAUGUUUGUUUUAUAAAAACCUUAGU